rnacentral:rRNA from 1 species
AUCAUAGACGCAUACGUACAUUGCAUAAGUGCUAAAGAGCAUCUACAGAUGAGGUCAGGUGGAAGUGUGUUCUUAGAGAAUGCAUGCAUCUCUAAGAUGAUAAAGGAAUUUAGCUCUAUACGGGAUGACGCACCAAGAUGGGUAUUACAGAGAGCUAAAACUUAUUUGGAACAUGAUAUGAUAUUCGUUCCAGUUAACAUUGAAGAGUUUCAUUGGUACCUAGCAGUUAUAAAUACCGGGAAGCGAUGUAUCCAGGUGCUCGACUCGGUAGGCCCAGGAAUGAACCGCAAAGACCUCACUGCUAUGCUGAAAGGACUGGAAAAUGUAUUCCAAUAUGCUAAGCUUCAAAUGGAACUAAAAUCUGAUAAGUGGAAAGACUUAAACAUCAGUGCAUGGCCAAGGGAAGAGUGUAUUAAGAGGAGACCGCAGACAGAUGGAACGAAACUAGCAGUCAUUUUAGUGGACUCGGAAUUGAAUGAUGAUAAUAUAAGAAAUCGAGACAUUGAAGAUGAUGAAAACAACACAGAUCCCACGGAUUGUAUGAUUCUGGACACACCCCCUGAGAACCUCAAACCAUCGAGUACAUUGUCAGAAGUAGAGCUCAUCUCGCAAUCAUUUAUCCUUUCGCCCUCUCUCACUCCAACAAAUGACGACUUAAUAGAUGAACUUUGUUUGUUCAUCGACUCACGUCAUCAUGACAAUAUGGACAUUGCUAUGUUCAAAUCGAUGUUUGAUAGCUGGCCAGACAGUAAUGAGUAUCAUAUUUCACAGUGUGAUACAAUUUUAUUGCCAUGGGAUAUUUGUGGGAUAUUUCUAUUGUUUGUUCUCGAUCAAAAUAAAAAGGUUGUCUCAAUUAUGGAUCCGAUACCAAUACCUAUUUUGGGAAAAAUUAUACUUAAAACUGUGGUCAACAACCUAAACCGUGCACUCCAAGUUGCAAACCCUGCAUUCAAAGACGACAUCUCUAAAUGGGAAUGCAAAGUUCCUGUUGUUCCAACAAACUCACAUGGGAUGAUUUUG